UGCUGAAGCCCCUAUAGCCUGUCGUGCUCCUUUCUCAUCUGGCUUUCCAGGGGUCCCACGCGAGUCCUGCUCCUGGUCCUCUGCUCUGAACAUUUGUCUGUCGUAGCACGAGGCACAAUGGCAUCCCUUAUCUGAUCUUCAGAUUUGAGACCUAAUUUUCUGGAAAGAUACCACUGAACACUGAUCUUGAACCAGGAGAAACAGACCUUAUACUGCUCUCUGAACCACCAUAUUGCCGCAAAACUAUGUGGAGUACAACCUUGGGUUUCUGUUUCAUAACUAAAAAAAUUAAAAGCCCUGUUCUGAAUGGAAAUCCAUUCUAGGGGGAGGUUUUAAACUGAGGGUCCGUGAAAGCCCCCAGAAACAGAUGACACCACAAAGGAGACUGCUUUCACAAGACUCAGAACAGAACGUGAUCCAGCAGCCCCAGGAAAAACUGCCUCCAGCUGAAUUUGUGCACAGGGUCAAAUCUGAGCCAGCAACUUCACAUGUGGACUAACGGUGGCACAGAUCU